rnacentral:lncRNA from 1 species
GGUUGAAAGACCUAAUAAUAGGGAAAAAACUGGAGUUGUCGUUCGUUUUACGUUGAUAGGAUAGAUAGCACACAAACUACAUUCAGUUGUCAGUGGAGGGUAAAAAAAAAGGGGGGGCCAAAAGAGGGUCUCGGAGAGGAUUUUUUUUUUUUUUUUAUAUUAACGGAACAGAAUGGUUAAAAAGGCCUUUUUACAAUAUAAAUCAAUUGCUUUUAAAAAGCAAUUGUGAACGGUCUUUCACCCCCUUAAAAAGAUGAUUGAUUGAUGUGUGUGUGUGUGUGUUUGUUUGUUUGUUUGUUUGUUUGUUUGUUUGUUGUUUGUUGUUUUGUAUAGGGGUCUAUAGUUUGUGUUACCGGAGAAGUUUCAUGUUUAGUUUGGAAAGUGUUUCUUUUUAUUUUAGGUACAGCGCAGCGCGACAUCACGUGACACGGUUUAUAAUAACGAAAACUUAGUCUUUUAUUUCUUUGAGGUGGGGACGUUGAACAGACAACAUCUAUAGAGAGGAUGCACAAUGUAAUUUCUUUUGUCAUUGUAGGAAAUUGACAUUUUGAUCACAGGUCACGGGCAGUGCAUGUUUUGGAUUUAAUCGAUCCGGUGUAACUUUAAAACACAUUUAAUGAUAUUUCUGUAUAAUGUACAUUUUUCAGCACCUGUUUGUAACACAGAUUAGUAUUUCAAUCUCGGAGCGGACAUUUUAUUGUAGGUUUUUACUGAGAUUUACGGACCUAGCAAGCGAUUUUUAGGUAUUGCCAUUUCUUUUCUCUAGGAAAAGUCUUGAGAGAUAUCUGCACCAAGUUUUUUAUGAACUUUUAGUUACAUGUAUGCCCUGCUGACUGCAAAUUUUGAGGCGUUGGACUUGUAGUUCAGAGUACAUGUGGAUUUUUUUCAGAAGAGACGUAAGAAACAUAUUAAUUUCAAUUUUCUUGAAUAAUUGAGAGUUUGUUCUUCACUAUUCAUAAAUAAACAGAUACAUAAUUGAUUGAUUGAUUGAUUAGUUGUGGUUGAUUGGUUGAUUGAUUGAUGAUUGAUUGAUUGAUUGAUUGAAUUGAUGUUGGUUGGUUGGUUGUUGGUUGGUUGGUUAAACACGUUGGAUAGGUCAAUUGAAACAGCGAAAAAGAAAAAAGAAGAUCUUGGACCGUAUAUUAAACACAUGAGACGGAUACAUGAUUGAUUGAUCAUGAUUGAUUGAUUGAUUGAUUGAUUGAUUGAUUAGUUGGUUGGUUGGUUGGUUGGUUGGUUGGUUGGUUGGUUGGUUAAACACGUUGGAUAGGGUCAGUUGAAACAGCGAAAAAGAAACAAAGAAGAUCUUGGAUCGUAUAAUAAACACAUGAGACGGAUACAUGAUUGAUUGAUUGAUUGAUUGAUCAUGAUCAUGAUCAUGAUUUAUUGAUUGAUUGAUUGAUUGAUUGAUUAGUUGGUUGGUUGUUUGGUCAAACACGUUGGAUAGGGUCAGUUGAAACAGCGAAAAAGAAACAAAGAAGAUCUUGAACCCUAUGAUAAACACACGAGACGGAAACGUGAUUGAUUGAUUGAUCAUGAUAAUUAUUGGUUGAUUGAUCAUGAUCAUGAUUGAUUGAUUGAUUGAUUGAUUGGUUGGUUGGUUGGUGGUUGGUGUGGUUAAACCGUUGGAUAGGGUCAAUUGUAAACAGCGAAAAAGAAGAUCUUGAAACCUAUAUUAAACACAUGAGACGGAAACAUGAUUGAUGCAAUCUGAUUGAUUGUUUGAUCAUGAUUGGUUGAUUGAUCAUGAUUGAUUGAUUGAUUGAUGAUGUAAUUGAUUGAUUGAUUGAUUGAUUGAUUGAUUGAUUUGAUUGAUUGAUUGGAUGUGUUGAGAUUGGGCGUUGGUGGUUGGUUGGUUGGCAAGGCUUUUAUAGUAAACCAAUAAAUGGGUGUAUGCCAUUGGAUCAACUCGAAUUCGGUAUUAAUUGUAAUAAUAAUAAUAAUAAUCAGAACAAAAACAAUAGGUCUUUCAUCCGAAAGGUUGAAAGACCUAAUAAUAGGGAAAAAACUGGAGUUGUCGUUCGUUUUACGUUGAUAGGAUAGAUAGCACACAAACUACAUUCAGUUGUCAGUGGAGGGUAAAAAAAAAGGGGGGGCCAAAAGAGGGUCUCGGAGAGGAUUUUUUUUUUUUUUUUAUAUUAAUGGAACAGAAUGGUUAAAAAGGCCUUUUUACAAUAUAAAUCAAUUGCUUUUAAAAAGCAAUUGUGUGAACGGUCUUUCACCCCUUAAAAAAUUGAUUGAUGUGUGUGUGUGUGUGUGUGUUGUUUGUUUGUUUGUUUGUUUGUUUGUUUGUUUGUGUAAGGGGUCUAUAGUAUUGUGUUACCGGAGAAGUUUCAUGUUUAGUUUGGAAAGUGUUUCUUUUAUUUUAGGUACAGCGCGCGCGCGACAUCACGUGACACGGGUUUAUAAUAACGAAAACUUAGUCUUUUUUAUUUCUUUUGAGGUGGGGACGUUGAACAGACAACAUGUAUAGAGACGGAAUGCACACAAUGUAAUUUCUUUUGUCAUUGUAGGAAAUUGACAUUUUGAUCACAG